UGAUUUGUGGCAAAAAAUGGUGUUUCCUGUUAGACGUGUUUGGGGUGCUGUUUCUGGUCAUGUUGUACAGCCUAAUAAGAAUGGUGCUGGACUAUCGAACCUUCAAGGUGAUAUACAGUCGUGUGGAUAUGAGGAUGUACAGGUGAUGUGGGAAAUGCUUGCAGGAACGGAGUCAGAGUUGACAUCUCGGCACAUUAAGCAUAAGACACCGACCGUUGUUUAGGAAUUUUGUAUGGUUCAACCAUAGUGCUAAAUCAUCUCUCCUCUCCAGAUCACACCCAUUAAGAUGGUAUGCUGCACUGCAUCUAUAAGAGUAUCUGAAGAGUGAAGAGAUGUAUGCCACUGGGUAGAUAUUUCAUAAUAUGGUACAAAGUGUGUGCUGUAUUCCAUAUCUGCAUAUGAAGUAUGUUUAUCAAUAUCGGGACUGUCAUGACGACAGUAUCAGUUGUAAUUAUACCAUCAUCCUGAUGAUGUAUGAAAAACCGGCACUAAAUAAAGAAAUAGAA